CUAAGAGUUUGCUCAACAGAGAGAAGAUACAGGUGCCAGGAAUCACUAGGUUCCCUGACAAAGAGCCAUUUUGAAAAGCCCUGGGCUGACAGGAUUGGUGGUCCCUCUCCAAGAGCGCACUUUCCUGGGCGGGUCUAUAUUUCCAGCCAAGGAGGGCUGGAAAGGAGCCCCCAGGGAGCUCAGCUGGAGCCAUGGCUUCUGCAUGCAUCUUGACACUUGUGAUUCUCUUCACAUUGAGUGGACUGAGAGCUCAGUCAGUGACUCAGCCGGAAGAUCAGGUCACUGUCUCUGAAGGGGAUCCUCUAACUGUGAAAUGCACCUAUUCAUAUUCUGGGAGCCCUUAUCUCUUUUGGUAUGUCCAAUAUCCCAACCAAGGCCUCCAGUUUCUUCUAAAAUACAUCGGAGGGCACAACCUGGUUAAAGGCAGCUAUGGUUUUGAGGCUGAAUUUAAUAAGAGCCAAACCUCUUUCCACCUGAAGAAAGCAUCUGCCCAUGGGAGCGACUCCGCUUUGUACUUCUGUGCUGUGAGUGACACACUGAUGGGGCUGCAGGGGAAGCUGAACACAAACCCUUGAGUGUGGUAAAACCCAUUUUCUGAGGUCUUUAUGUCACCCCACAAGAAAGUGGUGUGGCUCCAGGAUGUGUCUGUUAAAUUGCAAUUUAAAACCACAGAUACUGCUUAAUCAGCACGUAUUAUUGAGUCCUAAUGUGGCAGGGACUAUGCUAAGCACUGGUCAUAAAGAGGUGAAAGAACUGUAAAACUACUGGAAGAAAUCAUAGGGAAAAGCCCUAUGACAUUGGUCUGGGCAAGAAGUUUUUGGAUAUGACCACAAAAGACAGGCAACAAAAGCAAAAAUAGACAAAUGGGAUUAUAUCAAACUAAAAAGCUUCUGCAUAGCAAAGGAAACAA